rnacentral:rRNA from 1 species
UACGGAGGGUGCAAGCGUUAUCCGGAUUUACUGGGUUUAAAGGGUGCGUAGGCGGGCCUUUAAGUCAGUGGUGAAAUCUCCCCGCUCAACGGGGAAACUGCCAUUGAUACUGCAGGUCUAGAGUAUAGAUGACGUUGGCGGAAUAUGACAUGUAGUGGUGAAAUACUUAGAUAUGUCAUAGAACACCGAUUGCGAAGGCAGCUAACGAAACUAUAACUGACGCUGAGGCACGAAAGUGCGGGGAUCAAACAGG